UUCAGGGGUAAACCUGAGAAACCCGAAAGGUCGAAAGGGGAAAUUCAUUCGCGUCUCGCCGUCGGGGCGGAACGAUCGCGUGACGGACGGCGUACGCGUCGUCCGCGCCUUUCGUGCCGCCGUCCGGCGUCGAACGCGUGCACUUUUCCCCUAGUAGGACGUCGCGAUCCGUUGGGUGUCGGUCUACGGCCCGCGGCGGAGACCUGGCGCGCGCUCUCGGGCGUCGCGCUAGGACCCGCGGUGACCCGACCGACUCGCUCGACGGUAUACAGACGGCGCGGGGCCGCUACAUCAGUUAGCGUCCGGCUCGCGGCAAGCGCGUCCGAUGUCGACGGCGAUCGGACCCGGUGCCGGUCCUGUCCUCGGACGACUGUUGGCCGCGAUGCUCUCGGACAGACCUCGUCUCUUUCGAAACGCCGAUCUGCGACGCUAUAGCUUUGGGUAAUUUCAGGACCCACGGACCAAGGAGUCUAGCAUGUGCGCGAGUCAUUGGGAAAUAACUAAACCUAAAGGCGAAAUGAAAGUGAAGGUUCGUCUCGCGCGAACCGAGGGAGGAUGGGCGUUCCGCGCGUUCGCGCGCGCGGUCGCUCCGCACUCCCGGGGCGUCUCGUUCUCAUCGCGAGAUGAGGCGCACCAAGAGC
rnacentral:rRNA from 1 species